rfam:Myotis lucifugus cont2.46174, whole genome shotgun sequence.
GGUGGUUCUCUGGUGACGCACCCCAGAAUCGGGCUCCCUCCUUUCUGGUUCCAGGGUGCGUCACCCGAGGACCGCC